rnacentral:rRNA from 1 species
CGCGUAGGCGGACCUGCAAGUGAGAUGUGAAAUACCCGGGCUUAACCUGGGAACGGCAUCUUAAACUGCGGGUCUGGAGUACUGUAGAGGAUAGUGGAAUUUCCGGUGUAGCGGUGAAAUGCGUAGAGAUCGGAAGGAACAUCAGUGGCGAAGGCGACUGUCUGGACAGAUACUGACGCUGAGGCGCGAAAGCGUGGGGAGCAAACAGGAUUAGAUACCCUGGUAGUCCACGCUGUAAACGAUGAGAACUAGAUGUUGGUGGGCCUGGCCCAUUAGUAUCGAAGCUAACGCGAUAAGUUCUCCGCCUGGGGAGUACGGCCGCAAGGUUAAA